CAGCCAACCCCGGCCUACCGUUGCUGUAGGCGUACGGGGAUUCAGCUGCGCCGUCCUGAAGGCUCUCCAGGAUCUCGCCUUUGCCCACGUCGCUGUCGCCCACCAGCAGGAACUUGAGCAGACAAAGCUGGCCAAGAAACAGAAUAUAGAAACAGCCUCACCCGUUCACCCAGCUCCAGCUCCUCUUUCCUACUGGGAUGACCUCCACAGAUCUCACAAAGCUGAGAGGAGCCCACUGCUGCCCCAGAUUCCUGGCCUGGCAACAAACAGACCCAGCAGGCAUCCGCACUGACGGAGCAGAAGAGAGCCCACAAGACUUCCACGGAGACACUGCUUUGACUCUACUGAGAUGAGAUGGAGAACCGAGACGUUCCAUGGCCAGGUAGAAAUGAGGUGAAGGAACCAGCAUGAAUGUGCUGUACAUACCGUGUACGAGAGCAUGGGGAGUAGAGAGGACAGCCUGUGCCUCUUGUCUCCAGUGUAAGAGCAAUCUGGCAAUAGUGUGGACAGCCCAGCAACAGCCCCGAGCCAGAGUUGUGCUAAGGUUGGCUUUCAUCUGGUAUAUAAGCUUAGCAUGGAAAGGGGGCCCAUGAAAGCCUCAACCAAAGUGGCCCUCAGACACUGCCACCUUCAGGAAGGGGCAGCAGGCAAUUCACCAAUGCUGCCCUGAGAGACAUAGGUCCCAAGAGCUAAGAAAUAUCUCAGGCUGGGGCCAAAGGCUGGGUCUCUAGGGUGAGGACAGGGAAGAGCUGUUCCUGCCAGCUGAAGGACUGCCCAAGAGGAUUCCCAACCCUCAGGAAGCUGGGCUCCACCCAAUCCACUCACAUCAGCCACAGGGACCAGGGCAUUGGCCAGCUGUCCAAUUCGGUUAUUGCUGUGGAGCCAAGAGAGCAGCAGCAAGCCAAGGGCCACAUCCAGUAGCACAGAAACCAGCAUGUUGGCCUUCCUGGAAGGAAAGUCAGGGAAAGCACAGCUACAGACACAGCCUGAAAGGCCUGGCUGCAGGCACAAUGCAAAGCGGAGAGGAAGAAGAGGAUGGGCCGCCCCCUUCCUUGUAUAGGAAACCAUACCUCAUCAGCUGCAUGGGAUUCUGGGCUUUCUCCGUGCUGAAGAUGAAGGAGAGGUGCUUCAGCCGGUGAUGGAGCUGCUCACAAGUGGAGAGCUUGCUUCUGAUGAAGGAAAGUGGCCACAGCUUCCAUAGCCUGGGGGGAAUAUAAGGGCUGAGACUGACACCUCCAGCCUUAGGUUCCUUGGUUUCCCAGCCUAGGUUUCUCACUCUAGAAAGAAGACCCGGAGUCACUCACCCUGAGCCCUUUGGUUCCACUUGAAGGCUCAGCAGGGCCCAGGCAAAUGUGAAGACCAACACAGCCAAGCACGGAUGCAUAGAUGUGAAAAGCACAGCACCUUCCUGCCCCCAACCCCCAGCCGUGCUUACUGCUACUACAGAGCUGGACCCCUCGCAGAGCCUCAGGCAUACCUGAGCUCCCCAGCCAAUGCAAAGAUGAGUGUCAAGAUAGCUGAAAAGAUAGCCAGUCGUGGUAGCACGUGCCUUUAAUCCCAGGACUCAGGAGGCUGAGGCAAAUAGAUCAGCUUAGUAAGGGCUACCCUUUCCCCGAAAGAUGGCCAAAAAAGUAGAGGGGGAGGGGGGGACUAGGUCAUCUCUCAUCCACCCAAGACUUGCCCUGCCUACUACACGGUAACCCAGCUCAGCAAGGUUCUCCUGGGCUUUCCAGUAAGACUGAAUUCCUCACAAAGGAAGCAUUGAGACAUUUCCACAGAUGCUCACAUAGUAAGAGAUGUCUUCAAGCCAAGGAAGAAGAAAAUACCUGAUAGCAAUUGGCUUGUGUGAAACAGAGCAGGGUCAAGGAAAGAGCAGCAGCGCCGGGCGUGGUGGCACACGCCUUUAAUCCCAGCACUUGGGAGGCAGAGGCAGGCGGAUUUCUAAGUUCGAGGCCAGCCUGGUCUACCAAGUGAGUUCCAGGACAGCCAGGGCUACACAGAGAAACCCUGUCUCGAAAAACCAAAACAAACAACAAAAAAAGAGCCUAGUGUUACUCAGCAUUCUGAGGACUUAAGGACUUUUCCAUUUUGCAUUAUUACCUGAAGCCAGCUGUGGGAAAAACAGAAAAGAAGGGGAAUGGGCAGCUCUGUGUCCUCAUGGGUCAACCCAGGUGGGGCAGAUAUUGGCCUUUAAUCCCAGCACUCCGACAUAGAGUUUGAGGCUAGCCUAGACCACAUAGUGAGUUCCAGGCCAGCUAAGGCUAUACAGCUGAGACCCUGUCCCAAGCACACAACAAUCGUAAGCUAAGCUGAAGAGAUGAUGAUCUGGAGCACUUGCUGCUCUUAUAAAGACUCAGGGUUAAUUCCCAGCACUCACAUGACGGCUUAGGACCAUCUAUAACCCCAGUCCAGGAGAUCUGUCUUGGACUUAAUUUGUGGACCAGGCUGGCCUCGAACUCAGAAACCCAACUGCCUCUGCCUCCCAAGUGCUGGGAUUAAAGGUGUGCACCUCCACUGUCUGGCUAUUUGUAAUUUUUUUUUUAAGUGCAAUAACCCAGUUUUGUGUUCACCAGAUUUCUUCUCGGUGCUUGAACUGUCUGCGACCCAUAGUAUACCCAAGUGGAUGGGCCUCACACAGUCUUCAGGAAUAGCAGCCUCUACUAGGACAUCCUCUGAGAUGCAAAGGGAGGGAGGUAAGAGGAGAGCUGAGUCCCAGGAACAUGAGCCUCAGGAUGGACCCUCUGGCUCUCAAUGCCACUACACUGAAGGGAGAGCCUGUGGUUCUCAAGGGUCCAAUUUCUUGUCCUACCUUUCCCAUCUGAGGCACCUACCGGCAAGCACUAGCUGCUGAGAUCAGGGACAACAGAGAAGCCAGCAGCAGGCAGACAGGCCCAGAGGCCCGCUUUGCCAACUCCACAAGUAUGCUGGCCUCCACUCCCUCUGAUUGCCAGUGGCUCAGGCGUACGGGUCUCUCAUCAAAUUGGUCAUUUCGGAAGAGCACCUCGCUGCGUGCCACUGUGUCAAAGAUGUCAGCUAGGCCUCCGGUGCUGGCUGUGGUGUCUCCCAUCUGGCAGGCAGGCAGGACUGGAGGCGGAUGCAACCAGGAGAGCAGCAGCUUGCGCUGAUCAUAGAAGAUGAGCAUGACCUGCUCUUCGGGGUGCAUGUCCAGAGGGUUAGACAUCUGCGGGUAAGUGGCCUUGCAGCUCCAGAGUCUGGUACCCCUCUCCCGGCAGAGCUGCAACCAGGGGUCAUGGGAGAAGAUGGUGCCCAGGCCCUCCAGGAAAUUCCCCAGGCUCUCCUGCGGUUCCUGCUGACGGUGGCACCAGGUCCCUAGCACAGCCACUGGUACUUGACUGGCCUUCUGCACCUGGGCCAGGAGCUCCUUGACUUGGAUGGGGAUGAAGGGAAAGUGCACCACGGCCAGGAUCACAGCACUGCUCUGUCCUGGAACCCAUCGUCCCACUAACAGGCCACUGUCUGCCGAGGCACAGCACGUGGGGAAGAAGACCUUGAGCACCAUGCUGGGGGCCCUGCAAGAGACGAGAAAGGGUUGGUUUAGAGCUGCUGUGGCUGGCAGCAUAGUGCCUGCAAGAUGCUGUACCCUGCUUACGAACCAUUCACCCAGCCACACAUUGGGAAAGCACAGUUCUGGAUUCGGUGGGUCAUGGCUGUGCAUCUCCCAGGGACUGAACUCUUCCCAUCACUGCCCCAGGAAGCAGCAGCUGUAUGUGUGAUGGCAGGGCAGUGCUUCCACACGUUCUAAGGCCAGCAGCCUGAAGCAGGGCAGAGUGAGGUACUGGACAGAUGCUGUUGACUGACAGCAGUGUGGGGCUGAGCCUGAGGGCUUUAAUGAGAAAGGCCUCCUUAUGAGUGUCAUAUGAGCAUGUACACAAAUGAUAACUUUAGCAAACCAGAAGCCAGCCAGCUGUGUAAUGUACACCUGUGAUUCCAGCAGUGGAGAGGUGGAGGAAGGAGUGCCAGUUCAAGACCAGCCUUCAAAGGAAGGGGUUGGGGGAGAUGGCUUUUGACUAUAGUCUCAGUACUUAGGAGGCUAAAGCAGGGAGACCACUGGGUUCAAGAUUCAAGACAAGGCUAGGCCUACACAUGAAUUUCAGGGAAUCCUGGCAUACAAAAUAAGGCCCUGUCUCAAACAGCAAUAAACUAGAUUUACACAAGCAAGAGUUAAGAUAAAAUUUAAACCUGGGACUGCAGAGCCACUCAGAGCUUUAGAGUUCUCGUCGCUCUUGCAGAAGACCUGAGUUUGAUUCCCAGCACCCAAAUGGUGGUUCACAACCAUUCAUACCUCCAGUUCCAGCAGACCUAGCACAUGUGUGGUUACAUACGUGCAGGCAAAACCUCAUAUACGUAAAGUAAAUUUAAAAGGUAUUAAGCCUGUUUUGGAGGGCCAGGGAUGGUUUUCAAUGACAGAGUGCUUGCCUAGCAUGGCCAACAUUCUGAAUUUAAUCUCAAACACCACCAAAUGACCAAAAAUAAAAAUAAAAGCGAGGGGCUGGAGAGAUGGCUCAGCAAAUAAGAGCACUGACUGCUCUUCCAGAGGUCCUGAGUUCAAAUCCCAGCAACUACACGGUGGCUCACAACCGCCCGUAAUGAAAUCUGAUGCUCUCUUCUGGUGUGUCUGAAGUCAGCUACAGUGUACUUAAGAUAUAAUAAAUAAAUAUUUUUUAAAAAAUAAAAAAAUAAAAGCGAACCAAACAAACUUGUUUCGGGGCUCAGGAAAACUGGAUGCACACCUAGAUCACUGGUCCUAAGGCUGCGGGUAAGGCCUGCUUAAAGGAGCCGCUCCUCCUGUGACACGGACCAUGUCCUCCUGUUGCUGCUGCCACAAACUCAUCAAUCCCGAGCUCCGCCUAAGUCAGGAUUUGAAACUCCACCAGUUCCCAUCCUGGAAAACUUGGUCCUCCAACCUCCAAGAAAUCCUAUAUAAGUUUGCUUCUCACUCAGUUUUCUGCUACUUCUAGCCCAAGCAGAGGUAGCUGCCAUCUUGUGUCUUUCCCAAUAAAUCUCUUGUAUGAGGCUUGUUGUGUGGUGUGACUUUGUGCUUGCUAUUCCUUGGCUCCAGACUGCCAGGACACCUUUGCCUUCAGAGCUGUAACACAGAGACUCAGUCUCAGAAAGUAAGUAGAGAAGAGGCUGGAGGUGUAGCUCAGUGGUAGCGGCUCUGCUCUGCCCUCUGCUCACCUGAGGUACCUCUGGGUAGUACUCCUCUUUCUCUGGAAUCCUUGGCAGACACCCCAAGAUGGGGCUCCCAGC
rnacentral:lncRNA from 1 species